CUCAGAGUCAAUAUUCGUGUAGCGAGCUGCCUUCGCAAUUGGUGUUCUAUGUCAUAUCUAAGCAUUUCACCGCUACAUGACAUAUUCCGCUCACCUCCACGGUAUUCAAGACAGAUAGUAUCAACGGCAGUUUCCAAGUUAAGCUUGGAGAUUUCACCACUGACUUACCUGCCCUCCUACGCACCCUUUAAACCCAGUGAAUCCGGAUAACGCUUGCACCCUCCGUAUUACCGCGGCUGCUGGCACGGAGUUAGCCGGUGCUUAUUCCUAUGGUACCGUCAAUCCCGCAAGAAUGCGGGAAUUUCUUCCCAUAUAAAAGAAGUUUACAAUCCAGAGGACCUUCAUCCUUCACGCGGCAUGGCUGGUUCAGACUUGCGUCCAUUGACCAAUAUUCCUUACUGCUGCCUCCCGUAGGAGUCGGGCCCGUGUCUCAGUGCCCGUGUGACUGGUCGUGCUCUCACACCAGUUACUGAUCGUAGGCUUGGUGGGCCGUUACCCCGCCAACUACCUAAUCAGGCGCACGCCCAUCCAAAACCGCCGGAGCUAUAAUAAUCAAAUGAUGCCAUUCAAUUAUGUUACGAGGUAUUAAUCCGGGUUUCCCCGGGCUAUUCCCCAGUUUUGGGUAAGUUGCGUACGUGUUCCGCACCCGUUUGCCGGUCGCCGCCAGGUAUUGCUACCCGCGCUGCCCCUCGACUUGCAUGUAUUAAGCCUGCCGCUAGCGUUCAUCCUGAGCCAGGAUCAAACUC
rnacentral:rRNA from 1 species